rnacentral:rRNA from 1 species
GACGAACGCUGGCGGCGUGCUUAACACAUGCAAGUCGAGCGGUAAGGCCCUUUCGGGGGUACGACGAGCGGCGAACGGGUGAGUAACACGUGGGUGACCUGCCUUUAGCUCUGGGAUAAGCCUGGGAAACUGGGUCUAAUACCGGAUAUGACCCUAUGGCGCAUGUUGUGGGGUGGAAAGCCUUGUGCGGCUAGGGAUGGGCCCGCGGCCUAUCAGCUUGUUGGUGGGGUGAUGGCCUACCAAGGCGACGACGGGUAGCCGGCCUGAGAGGGCGACCGGCCACACUGGGACUGAGACACGGCCCAGACUCCUACGGGAGGGCAGCAGUGGGGAAUCUUGCGCAAUGGGCGAAAGCCUGACGCAGCGACGCCGCGUGAGGGAUGACGGCCU